rnacentral:tRNA from 1 species
GGGCCUAUAGUCAAAUUUGAUAUCUAACUUGCACUUAGAAGAUGUUCUUAAUGAACUAGAUCCA